GUUUGAACUCCCCUGGUGUCGUUUCACCUUAAUUCUGACAAAGGAAAUCCACGAACCUGAGUCGCUGCAACUUUGGGACGCGACAGUACUGCUAACACAUCU